rnacentral:rRNA from 1 species
UACGUAGGGGGCAAGCGUUGCUCGGAAUUACUGGGCGUAAAGGGAGUGCAAGCGGCCGGUUAAGUCAAAGAUGAAAUCCCGAGGCUCAACUUCGGAACGGUCUUUGAUACUGAUCGGCUUGAGGCUGGUUGAGGCGAGCGGAAUUCCCGGUGGAGCGGUGAAAUGCGUAGAUAUCGGGAGGAACACCAGAGGCGAAGGCGGCUCGCUAAGCUAGUCCUGACGCUGAGACUCGAAAGCCAGGGGAGCAAACGGG